AACGAACGCUGGCGGCAGGCUCUACACAUGCAAGUCGAGCGCCCCGCAAGGGGCGCGGCAGACGGGUGAGUAACGCGUGGGAAUCUACCCAUCUCUACGGAAUAACGCAUGGAAACGUGUGCUAAUACCGUAUACGUCCUUCGGGAGAAAGAUUUAUCGUUGAUGGAUGAGCCCGCGUUGGAUUAGCUAGUUGGUGGAGUAAAGGCCUACCAAGGCGACGCUCCAUAGCUGGUCUGAGAGGAUGAGCAGCCACACUGGGACUGAGACACGGCGCAGACUCCUACGGGAGGCAGCAGUGGGGAAUAUUGGACAAUGGGCGCAAGCCUGAUCCAGCCAUGCCGCGUGAGUGGUGAAGGCCCUAGGGUUGUAAAGCUCUUUCACCGGUGAAGAUAAUGACGGUAACCGGAGAAGAAGCCCCGGCUAACUUCGUGCCAGCAGCCGCAGUAACAC
rnacentral:rRNA from 1 species